UACGUAGGGGGCUAGCGUUGUCCGGAUUUAUUGGGCGUAAAGAGCGUGUAGGCGGCCAGGUAGGUCUGCUGUGAAAACUCGAGGCUCAACCUCGAGCUGUCGGCGGAAACCAUCUGGCUAGAGUCCGGAAGAGGAGAGUGGAAUUCCUGGUGUAGCGGUGAAAUGCGCAGAUAUCAGGAAGAACACCCGUGGCGAAGGCGACUGUCUGGGGUUUUGCUGACGCUGAGGCACGAAAGCCAGGGGAGCGAACGGG
rnacentral:rRNA from 1 species